rnacentral:rRNA from 1 species
UGGCGCACGGGUGCGUAACGCGUGGGAAUCUGCCCUUGGGUUCGGGAUAACAGUUGGAAACGACUGCUAAUACCGGAUGAUGACUUCGGUCCAAAGAUUUAUCGCCCAGGGAUGAGCCCGCGUAGGAUUAGCUAGUUGGUGAGGUAAAAGCUCACCAAGGCGACGAUCCUUAGCUGGUCUGAGAGGAUGAUCAGCCACACUGGGACUGAGACACGGCCCAG